rnacentral:lncRNA from 1 species
CAGAUUCUUAGUGGACAGCUCUCAUAUCCCCUCCAGGGAAAAUGAUGAAAAAUGUCUUCAGAAAAAUAGCUUUAUGAAGGCAAGAGGACUUUUUGCACCUGCAAGACAUGUCUGAAAGCUCCUCAGGUCAAAACACAAGUAGUCAAGAGAUUUGUCCAUCUAAUUCAUCAUACUACUCUGAUCCAAGUGAGACCCACACUGGGUCAGCUCCAUCAAGGAGAAGAACAUUCCACCCACGUUUGGAUUCUGGAAUAUCAUCCUUGCUUCCAUCAGAUUCUUGUAAGUACCUCACUUGGCACAAGGUAGACAUGACGUUCAAGGAAGUCAACUGCGUUGCCCAAGAGUAAGAGAAGGAAUCUCUGAAGAAGAGCAACUUUUCAGACAGGUAGAGUGUGCCUUGCUCCCAAGGAAAAGAGUUCUUGAAAAAAACAAAUGGGAAACAUGGCUACAAGAAAACUGGGAAGACUGCAAGAAUUUGAACAUUUCAUUUCAGGGUUUGGGGGAUCCUUACCAAGUUGAAAAUUUUAACAGAAUUCUUAGAAGACUAAUUCGAGUUGAAACCCUCUGGUUAGUGGAUAAUUCACUGGUGGACUUAAGUGCCAUAAGAUUGCCAAGGGAUUGCUAGAGAACCCCUUUUACAGGGAGCUGCUAUUUGCUUCAGCAGGCAGAAUGCGUAGGUGGAGUGAGCUUUGGUGGCAAUGAGAGGGGCCAACAGAGGUCCUCAGGAGUGAAUUAGAUGAAGGAAAUUGAGCAUCCACAAAAAGGAAAGGUAAUUUCUAGACCAAGUUAAUAUAUAAUUCUGAGCAUUGGCUGAGAGAAGGUCACAGAAAGAGGCCAUUAUAGCUGUACA